UUUAUUAAAAUUGUAGAGUAGAAUCUAAAUUUUAAGAAAGGAUAAUAAGAUAAAGUAUAGGAUUUAUUUUAAGGACCAGGAUUAGAUACCCUGUUACUUUUAAUGAACUAAUUUUGGACUAAUAGUGUUAAUGAAAUUUAACGGAUUUGGCGGCAAGAUAGCCCAUUAGAGGAACCUGCCCUAUAAACGAUGAACCACGAGGAUACAUUGCUUUUUUUAGAAAUCAGUUUGUAUAUCGCUGUUGUCAGUUAGAUUCAAGAGAAUAUUUUCGUUUAUGAAAAAAUCAUUGACUUCAAGUAAAGGUGCAGCUUAUAAAAAAGAAAGAGGUGGGUUACAUUUAUAAGAAUAAAACGGAUAAGGUAAAUGAAGGAACCUUUAAAGGUGGAUUUAACUGUAAAAUUUAAGUAAAUUUGAUGAGAGCUCUAUCUUGUGUACACACCGCCCGUCGCUCUCUUUUUUAAAAC
rnacentral:rRNA from 1 species